CCAGGGGGAGCUGUGUAUAAAAGAGGGCCAUUCUCACUGGUGCAGCCUCUGCCGCUGAGUCUGGAGUAGACCCCGCCCCUGGGCUUUCUCACUUCCUGGUGUGAACCGUGUGAGCCGUGCGAGCGGUGCUUACCUGUUGGGCCACGUUUGGGGAUCAAUUCCCCCUUCAUCUGGGUGUCAACUUGCUGCUAGAUGAGUGGCUGUAGGGAGGUUGCAGACUCCCCACCUCUCCUACUGGGCGUGUCAGUUAAAUGUUUGUUUGCCAGGAGCGGCUAAUCUGCCGUGGAGCCCGCCAGCUGUUUGUCCUUCCGUGUGGCUUCGAAGUCCAGUGUUGGCACCCAUAAAUACGCCUGGACUGCCUCUGCUCCUUGGAAGUCCGCCGUCUGCAGGUUGCUGCACCCCUGUCGACCUGCUGGCUUCCUGACCGAGCUGAUUACACUCUUGUGGGACGCCAGGAAUACACA